rnacentral:rRNA from 1 species
GUGGAUUAGAUACCCUGGUAGUCCACGCCGUAAACGAUGAUAACUAGCUGUCCGGGGACUUGGUCUUUGGGUGGCGCAGCUAACGCAUUAAGUUAUCCGCCUGGGGAGUACGGCCGCAAGGUUAAAACUCAAAGGAAUUGACGGGGGCCUGCACAAGCGGUGGAGCAUGUGGUUUAAUUCGAAGCAACGCGCAGAACCUUACCAGCGUUUGACAUGUCCGGACGACUGGCAGAGAUGCCUUUCUUCCCUUCGGGGACUGGAACACAGGUGCUGCAUGGCCGUCGACAACU